rnacentral:rRNA from 1 species
GAGAGUCCACAUCGACGGGGAGGUUUGGCACCUCGAUGUCGGCUCAUCACAUCCUGGGGCUGUAGUAGGUCACAAGGGUUGGGCUGUUCGCCCAUUAAAGUGGUACGCGAGCUGGGUUCAGAACGUCGUGAGACAGUUCGGUCCCUAUCCGUCGCAGGCGUAGGAAAUUUGAGAAGACCUGUCCUUAGUACGAGAGGAACGGGAUGGACGUACCUAUGGUGUACCAGUUGUACUGCAAAGGGCAUGGCCGGGUAGCUAAGUACGGAAUGGAUAAACGCUGACAGCUGCGAAGCGCGAAGCACACUUCAAGAAGAACGUUCCCACAGCACGGGUAAGACCCCAGAACGACACUCUGGGUGAUAGGUCGAAGGUGU